AUUGAACGCUGGCGGCAGGCCUAACACAUGCAAGUCGAGCGGUAGAGAGAAGCUUGCUUCUCUUUAGAGCGGCGGACGGGUGAGUAAUGCCUAGGAAUCUGCCUGGUAGUGUGGGAUAACGUUCGGAAACGGACGCUAAUACCGCAUACGUCCUACGGGAGAAAGCAGGGGACCUUCGGGCCUUGCGCUAUCAGAUGAGCCUAGGUCGGAUUAGCUAGUUGGUGGGGUAAUGGCUCACCAAGGCGACGAUCCGUAACUGGUCUGAGAGGAUGAUCAGUCACACUGGAACUGAGACACGGUCCAGACUCCUACGGGAGGCAGCAGUGGGGAAUAUUGGACAAUGGGCGAAAGCCUGAUCCAGCCAUGCCGCGUGUGUGAAGAAGGUCUUCGGAUUGUAAAGCACUUUAAGUUGGGAGGAAGGGCAGUAAAUUAAUACUUUGCUGUUUUGACGUUACCGACAGAAUAAGCACCGGCUAACUCUGUG
rnacentral:rRNA from 1 species